CGGCGUGCCGGUGCCGAGGAAGCGCCGGCGCACUUCGCGGGCGCGCUCGGUGGCCGCCGCCUGCCGCGCCAGUUCGAGCGAGGUCGCGCGGUCC
rnacentral:tRNA from 1 species